rnacentral:rRNA from 1 species
AUUGAACGCUGGCGGAAUGCUUUACACAUGCAAGUCGAACGGCAGCACGGGGGCAACCCUGGUGGCGAGUGGCGAACGGGUGAGUAAUACAUCGGAACGUGCCCAGUCGUGGGGGAUAACGUAGCGAAAGUUACGCUAAUACCGCAUACGAUCUACGGAUGAAAGCGGGGGACCGUAAGGCCUCGCGCGAUUGGAGCGGCCGAUGUCAGAUUAGGUAGUUGGUGAGGGAAAGGCUCACCAAGCCGACGAUCUGUAGCUGGUCUGAGAGGACGACCAGCCACACUGGGACGGAGACACGGCCCAGACUCCUACGGGAGGCAGCAGUGGGGAAUUUUGGACAAUGGGCGCAAGCCUGAUCCAGCCAUUCCGCGUGCAGGACGAAGGCCUUCGGGUUGUAAACUGCUUUUGUACGGAACGAAAAGGCUCUGGUUAAUACCUGGGGCUCAUGACGGUACCGUAAGAAUAAGCACCGGCUAACUACGUGCCAGCAGCCGCAGUAA